rnacentral:rRNA from 1 species
AUUGAACGCUGGCGGCAGGCCUAACACAUGCAAGUCGAGCGGAGCGGCGGACGGGUGAGUAAUGCCUAGGAAUCUGCCUGGUAGUGGGGGAUAACGUCCGGAAACGGGCGCUAAUACCGCAUACUAUCAGAUGAGCCUAGGUCGGCUUAGCUAGUUAGUGGGGUAAAGGCCUACCAAGGCGACGAUCCGUAACUGGUCUUAGAGGAUAAUCAGUCACACUGAAACUGAGAAACGGUCCCGACUCCUACGGGAGGCAGCAGUGGGGAAUAUUGGACAAUAGGCGAAAGCCAGAUCCAGCCAUGCCGCGUGUGUGAAGAAGGUCUUCGGAUUGUGAAGCUCUUUAAGUUGGGAGGCGUUACCAACAGAAUAAGCACCGGCUAACGUCGUGCCAGCAGCCGCGGUGAUUC